GAUAUACUCCCUCCGUUCAGAAAUACUUGUCAUCAAAAUGGAUAAAAAGAAAUGUAUCUACAACUAAAAUAUGUCUAGAUACAUCCUCUUUUAUCCAUUUUUAUGACAAUGGACGGAGGAAGUAUGUU
rfam:Triticum aestivum genome assembly, contig: Triticum_aestivum_CS42_TGACv1_scaffold_049605_1BS